UCCAGACUCCUACGGGAGGCAGCAGUGGGGAAUAUUGGGCAAUGGACGCAAGUCUGACCCAGCAACGCCGCGUGAAGGAAGAAGGCUUUCGGGUUGUAAACUUCUUUUAAGGGGGAAGAGCAGAAGACGGUACCCCUUGAAUAAGCUCCGGCUAACUACGUGCCAGCAGCCGCGGUAAUACGUAGGGAGCAAGCGUUAUCCGGAUUUAUUGGGUGUAAAGGGUGCGUAGACGGGUAUACAAGUUAGUAGUGAAAUCCCUCGGCUUAACUGAGGAACUGCUACUAAAACUAUAUAUCUUGAGUACUGGAGGGGAAAGCGGAAUUCCUAGUGUAGCGGUGAAAUGCGUAGAUAUUAGGAAGAACACCGGUGGCGAAGGCGGCUUUCUGGACAGAAACUGACGUUGAGGCACGAAAGUGUGGGGAGCAAACAGGAUUAGAUACCCCGGUA
rnacentral:rRNA from 1 species